rnacentral:rRNA from 1 species
UACGUAGGGUGCAAGCGUUAAUCGGAAUUACUGGGCGUAAAGCGUGCGCAGGCGGCUUUGCAAGACAGAUGUGAAAUCCCCGGGCUUAACCUGGGAACUGCGUUUGAUACGGAUGGGCUAGAGUUCGGGAGAGGAGCGUGGAAUUCCCAGUGUAGAGGUGAAAUUCGUAGAUAUUGGGAAGAACACCGGUGGCGAAGGCGGCGCUCUGGACCGAGACUGACGCUGAGGCGCGAAAGCGUGGGGAGCAAACAGG